CGGGUGAGUAACACGUAUGCAACCUGCCUGCCACAGCCGGAUAAUCGGGAGAAAUUCCGUCUAAUACGGCAUAAUGCAUCGACGGGACAUCCUGUUGGUGCCAAAGGUUGAUUCCGGUGGUGGAUGGGCAUGCGUCGCAUUAGUUAGUUGGCGGUGUAACGGACCACCAAGACGACGAUGCGUAGGGGUUCUGAGAGGAAGGUCCCCCACACUGGUACUGAGACACGGACCAGACUCCUACGGAAGGCAGCAG
rnacentral:rRNA from 1 species